rnacentral:rRNA from 1 species
GGGACACGUGGUAUCCUGUCUGAAUAUGGGGGGACCAUCCUCCAAGGCUAAAUACUCCUGACUGACCGAUAGUGAACCAGUACCGUGAGGGAAAGGCGAAAAGAACCCCGGCGAGGGGAGUGAAAAAGAACCUGAAACCGUGUACGUACAAGCAGUGGGAGCACCCUUCGGGGUGUGACUGCGUACCUUUUGUAUAAUGGGUCAGCGACUUAUAUUCUGUAGCAAGGUUAACCGAAUAGGGGAGCCGGAGGGAAACCGAGUCUUAAUUGGGCGUUAAGUUGCAGGGUAUAGACCCGAAACCCGGUGAUCUAGCCAUGGGCAGGUUGAAGGUUGGGUAACACUAACUGGAGGACCGAACCGACUAAUGUUGAAAAAUUAGCGGAUGACCUGUGGCUGGGGGUGAAAGGCCAAUCAAACCGGGAGAUAGCUGGUUCUCCCCGAAAGCUAUUUAGGUAGCGCCUCGUGAAUUCAUCUCCGGGGGUAGAGCACUGUUUCGGCUAGGGGGCCAUCCCGGCUUACCAACCCGAUGCAAACUGCGAAUACCGGAGAAUGUUAUCACGGGAGACACACGGCGGGUGCUAACGUCCGUCGUGAAGAGGGAAACAACCCAGACCGCCAGCUAAGGUCCCAAAGUCAUGGUUAAGUGGGAAACGAUGUGGGAAGGCCCAGACAGCCAGGAUGUUGGCUUAGAAGCAGCCAUCAUUUAAAGAAAGCGUAAUAGCUCACUGGUCGAGUCGGCCUGCGCGGAAGAUGUAACGGGGCUAAACCAUGCACCGAAGCUGCGGCAGCGACACUGUGUGUUGUUGGGUAGGGGAGCGUUCUGUAAGCCUGUGAAGGUGUGUCGUGAGGCAUGCUGGAGGUAUCAGAAGUGCGAAUGCUGACAUAAGUAACGAUAAAGCGGGUGAAAAGCCCGCUCGCCGGAAGACCAAGGGUUCCUGUCCAACGUUAAUCGGGGCAGGGUGAGUCGACCCCUAAGGCGAGGCCGAAAGGCGUAGUCGAUGGGAAACGGGUUAAUAUUCCCGUACUUGGUGUUACUGCGAAGGGGGGACGGAGAAGGCUAUGUUGGCCGGGCGACGGUUGUCCCGGUUUAAGCGUGUAGGUGUGUGUUCCAGGUAAAUCCGGUUCACUUUAACACUGAGGCGUGACGACGAGGCACUACGGUGCUGAAGCAACAAAUGCCCUGCUUCCAGGAAAAGCCUCUAAGCAUCAGGUAACAUCAAAUCGUACCCCAAACCGACACAGGUGGUCAGGUAGAGAAUACCAAGGCGCUUGAGAGAACUCGGGUGAAGGAACUAGGCAAAAUGGUGCCGUAACUUCGGGAGAAGGCACGCUGACACGUAGGUGAAGUGAUUUACUCAUGGAGCUGAAGUCAGUCGAAGAUACCAGCUGGCUGCAACUGUUUAUUAAAAACACAGCACUGUGCAAACACGAAAGUGGACGUAUACGGUGUGACGCCUGCCCGGUGCCGGAAGGUUAAUUGAUGGGGUCAGCGCAAGCGAAGCUCCUGAUCGAAGCCCCGGUAAACGGCGGCCGUAACUAUAACGGUCCUAAGGUAGCGAAAUUCCUUGUCGGGUAAGUUCCGACCUGCACGAAUGGCGUAAUGAUGGCCAGGCUGUCUCCACCCGAGACUCAGUGAAAUUGAACUCGCUGUGAAGAUGCAGUGUACCCGCGGCAAGACGGAAAGACCCCGUGAACCUUUACUAUAGCUUGACACUGAACAUUGAGCCUUGAUGUGUAGGAUAGGUGGGAGGCUUUGAAGCGUGGAC